rnacentral:misc_RNA from 1 species
GGAAGGAUCAUUAACACGUAUCCACGUCACACCCUUCGUGCACCUGUUAUCUACCGCCCCUCUCUUUCACAUGAAUUGGCUACUCGUCAGCUGCUGCAUUGGAUGGGAUUCACCUUCGGGUGAGUCACACGGCUGACUGGAACCGGAUUCGAUUCGUCGGAUCUAACAAUUGUAGUGAGAGUGGAGGAUGACGCUCUGCUGUCGCAUCUCGCCAUUCCAAGAGAGCAAUAGUAGAGGAACUAUUCACCUUUUUCACACCCUUUUUGCUAGUUGACUUUUAUAAUGUUGUUGACUGAGAGAAUUAAUUUUCUCUUCUUUCAUCACACGUUUAAUUACUUGAACGUUAAUAAUACAACUCUUAGCAAUGGAUAUCUUGGUUCUCGCAACGAUGAAGAACGCAGCGAAAUGCGAUACGUAAUGCGAAUUGCAGAAUUCAGUGAAUCAUCAAAUCUUUGAACGCAAAUUGCGCUCUUGGGUAGCCCUAGGAGCACGCCUCUCUCAGUAUCGGUUCAAUCACCGAUCAGCAGCGUUGAUAAUACCAACGUGUUGGCUGGAGAAUGAGAGUCAUAUUGUUACAGAUAUGUCUCUUUAAGAUCAUUGAGUGCUAGUAGCAAAACCACCUCUCAGCUCGACUUCGGUCGAUAGUCCGUCUCGAACGGUCGUCUGACAGUGACGUGAAUACUGACCCUCGCUGGUCUCCUUUUUACGUGUAACUGUGUAAGACGGCAUUAACGUUUAGGAUUGGCGAACGGUAGGCAAGUGAACUCUAGCAUGUAUCGUGGCACUCUUCGUGCUACAAUCGACUGAGGAAUUUAUAUUCUUCCGUCUGAAUUUUGAUCUGAGAUGAAGCGAGACAACCCCCUGAAUUUAAGCAUAUUAAUAAGGGGAGGAAAAGAAACUAACAAGGAUUCCCCCAGUAACGGCGAGUGAAGCGGGAAGAGCUCAAUUUGAAAAUCGAUUACCUAAGCGGGUCAUCGAAUUGUAGCCUAGAGACGUACCAUCAGCUGAAACCUGGGUAUAAGUUCUUUGGAAUGAGGCAUCAUAGAGGGUGAGAAUCCCGUAUAUGACCCAAAGCUUUCAGCGUACGAUGUAUGUUCCUCGAGUCGAGUUGUUUGGGAUUGCAGCUCUAAAUGGGUGGUAAGUUUCAUCUAAAGCUAAAUAAUGGCGAGAGACCGAUAGCGAACAAGUACCGUGAGGGAAAGAUGAAAAGAACUUUGAAAAGAGAGUUAAAAGUACUUGAAAUUGCUAAGAGGGAAGCGCUGAGCAGCAGUGAUAUACGUCGUUCAUCGUCGUCAGCCCCACUGGAAUUGUCGUAUAGUUGGAAACUCUAUAUGGCGGCUCGAAAGGGAGGUUGUCGGUUUAGGACGGCGUGUCAGUCAAGAUCCAUUCGAUGAGUGGGAGAAGGAGUUGAGAAAGGUAGGAGAUCCGUCUCUGUUAUAGUCUCAGCUACAUACCUCGCGUUGGAUGGAGGAAGAAAUAGUGCGCCGCUUGCGGCUUAGUUCCAUGCUCCUACUGGUGCCUGCGAGCUCUGAGAGCAAUGCUCUUUGGGUUUCAGCGUAUUGAUACUGGGUGUGCGAAUUCUAUGUGCUAUCACGAUCUUGUACGAAAUGCUGCUCAUCGACCCGUCUUGAAACACGGACCAAGGAGUCUAACAUCUAUGCGAGUAUUUGAGUGACAAACUCUGAUGCGCAAUGAAAGUAAAGGUAGCCUUGUGCUGCUGAGGUAGGAAUCCGGUCAAACGGAGGCACUAUCGACCGAUCAUCACUUGUGAAAGAUUUGAGUAAGAGCAUAUCUGUUGGGACCCGAAAGAUGGUGAUCUAUGCCUGAACAGGGUGAAGCCAGGGGAAACUCUGGUGGAGGCUCGUAGCGAUACUGACGUGCAAAUCGUUCGUCUGAUUUGGGUAUAGGGGCGAAAGACUAAUCGAACCAUCUAGUAGCUGGUUCCCUC